GACGAGCGCUGGCGGCGUGCUUAACACAUGCAAGUCGAACGGUGAAGCGCCUUCCUUUUUGGUGGGUGUGGAUGAGUGGCGAACGGGUGAGUAACACGUGAGUAACCUGCCCCCUUCUUCUGGAUAACCGCAUGAAAGUGUGGCUAAUACGGGAUAUUCUGGGUCUGUCGCAUGAUGGGUCUGGGAAAGAUAUUGUUUCGGUGGGGGAUGGGCUCGCGGCCUAUCAGCUUGUUGGUGGGGUGAUGGCCUACCAAGGCGGUGACGGGUAGCCGGCCUGAGAGGGUGGACGGUCACACUGGGACUGAGACACGGCCCAGACUCCUACGGGAGGCAGCAGUGGGGAAUAUUGCACAAUGGGCGCAAGCCUGAUGCAGCGACGCCGCGUGAGGGAUGGAGGCCUUCGGGUUGUGAACCUCUUUCGCCAGUGAAGCAGGCCUGCCUCGUUUGUGGGUGGGUUGACGGUAGCUGGAUAAGAAGCGCCGGCUAACUACGUG
rnacentral:rRNA from 1 species